CAAAAUAUUUCUCUCUAUUGCAACUAUAUGACAUGGUUAUUACUCCAAUUGAGGUUUCUCUAUUUGAUUUAUUCAUGUAUUUCCUUGUGAUGCUGUUGUUUCUAUUUCUGUCUGUCUCUCACUAUAGAUGGAGAAGGAGGCUCCACCUUUUCAACGCUGUGAUUGGUUAUGUAAAUAAAGUAUUAUAUUUUCUGUCCUGUCCUAUGCAGUUAUCAACUGUAUGGAUAAUUAAAUCAUCAAUCAAGAGGCUCGACUGUUUGAUGCCUUUGUCCAAAGCCAAUCAGAUUCCAGAGAACUUGGAAGCACAGCUCGAGAGAAAAAGCUGUUAUUGGUCGCAGUCAGGUGAUAGUGCGUUACAGACUUGAAGAAGGGGAUCCCGCUUUACUGCAGCUGGCCGGUGGUGGCUGGUCCGCGCCCCCCUUUGGACAUUGAGGGGGUCCCGGCGUAUGCCGUUCGCUCCAUACUGGAUUCAAGGCUUCGGGCGAGGGGCCUGGGUUCCGGUGGAGGUGCUGUGUUCAAGUGGAGAUGCUGGGUUCCGGUGGAGGACGUGUUGGACCCUUCAAUGUUGCAGGAGUUCCACCGUCUCCGUCCGGAUCGCCCUGCGCCUCGCCCUCCGGGUUGUCCCCGAGGCCGGUGUCGGAGCGCUGCUGGAGCCGCACGUCAAUGUGGGGGGGUACUGUCAUGACUUCCGCCCGAAGUCGGUUCCUCUCCUUGUUCGGGCGACAUUCUGCGGUCGACGUCACCGGUCUUCUAGCCAUUGCCAAUCCACCAUUGAUUUUCCAUUUGUUAUGUCUUGUUUUCCCACACACCUGGUUUACAUUCCCUCAUUACGUGACGUGUAUAUAACCCUCUGUUCCCCCCAUGUCUGUGUGUGGAAUUGUUUGUUGUAAAGUGUGCAUUAUAGACUGGUUUGCGCCGGGUUAUAUCAACCCAUAUUCUGUUGUUCUGGGUGCCGUCGGUUUUGCCUCAUUAAACUGCU